CUCAUGACUGGCUUGAUAGCUAUUGUAAUUUCAAAGCAGUGACGAGCAUAAAUGAUAUUUUGAGAUACCUGUAACCAUGGCAACACGAUACAGAAAUGCCUGUGAUUUCUAUUCGUGACAAAGUCACGGCAUUUCUUUUUUUUUUCUGUAUUCUGUAUAGAAUAGAAUUCUUUCCCUGACCAAGUGCACAGACCUCUUGAUUCUGUUCAGGCCUCUUGUGGGCUCCACUUUAGAAACCCCUGCACUUGGGCGGCUGUUUGUGGCACCAAGAGGGAGACAAAUUCCACAAAGGUCAAAAGAAAAGAAAAAGACUGAAAUGAUCAUAGGUUUGGAGAUGGGCACAAGAAGUGGAGGCGAAAAGUAAUGUGAGAGGUUGCCAGGAUGUGGAUAAAUUGAAUAAAAAGGGACAAUUUUUUGUCACUGCCUCUGCUGACAGGCGAGUAGGGACAAGUAUAGACCAUCCAGGAUACAGCCCGCCAGGAACAUGAAUUUGCAACGUGGCUCCGAAUGCGGACUCUGAAGUCUGACACACCUGGGUCUCCAUCCUAGCCCUGCCAUUUACCAGUGUGUGCUCUGCGCAUUCAUUCACUGCUCUCUGACUCCGUUUAUCUUAUUUAGCAGGAGUAAUAAGACCAUCACACGAAAUUGCUUUGAGGAUUAAAUGAGACGAUGUGUGUAAAAAGCUUGGUGCAGUGUCUGGGAUAUUUUUACUCGCCCUCCACCAAUAGUUCUAGCAAGAGUAUUGUGGUUUCUAUGGAGACCCACUUCCCAGAAGUAAACAAGGCUCCUUGCAGGUCACUAAGCGUCACUGAAACAUUGGGGUUGACUCACAUGUGGCCAGCAGAAGGCAGCAAACACCACACUAUAGCUGAAGAGGACAAGAGAAGGCAGUGGUGGAUGUGGAUGGAGAGACAGGUCAUCCCAGGAGCCAACAGGGUGUGUACUGGCUGUGCCCAACCGAGAAGCAUCCAACCUGGGACAUCCCGCUCUGCCCUCUUUCCUUCCACAAUGAGUGGUGGAGAGUCGGCAAUUGGUGUCACGAUCUAUCUCCCCAUCCUUUUGCAAUCCUUCUCUGAAACAUCCCAGAAAUGAGGUGUGAUUCAGUAGGAUGCCAGAACACUGGGCGCAAAAGAGGCAAGUCAAAGCAAGUAUUCGUUAAACUGUUUUUAAGGGGAGGUUCUUCCCUCCUCCGAGCCACUGAUUAACCUCAGAAUCAUUCGUGGAUCUGUAUCUUGAGGUUGGAGUGAUCUCCUUUCCUGUGCCCCUUAGACGCCCAACUAGAACAUGGAACUAGGGGCAGCCCCGGUGGCGCAGCGGUUUGGCUCCUGGAGACUCGGGAUAGAGUCCCACGUCAGGCUCCCAUGCAUGGAGCCUGCUUCUCCCUCUGCCUGUGUCUCUGCCUCUCUCUCUCUCUCUCUCUCUCUCUUUCUCUGUCUCUAUGAAUAAAUAAAUAAGAUCUUAAAAAAAAAAAAAGAAC
rnacentral:lncRNA from 1 species